AUUGAACGCUGGCGGCAGGCCUAACACAUGCAAGUCGAGCGGAUGAAGGGAGCUUGCUCCUGGAUUCAGCGGCGGACGGGUGAGUAAUGCCUAGGAAUCUGCCUGGUAGUGGGGGAUAACGUCCGGAAACGGGCGCUAAUACCGCAUACGUCCUGAGGGAGAAAGUGGGGGAUCUUCGGACCUCACGCUAUCAGAUGAGCCUAGGUCGGAUUAGCUAGUUGGUGGGGUAAAGGCCUACCAAGGCGACGAUCCGUAACUGGUCUGAGAGGAUGAUCAGUCACACUGGAACUGAGACACGGUCCAGACUCCUACGGGAGGCAGCAGUGGGGAAUAUUGGACAAUGGGCGAAAGCCUGAUCCAGCCAUGCCGCGUGUGUGAAGAAGGUCUUCGGAUUGUAAAGCACUUUAAGUUGGGAGGAAGGGCAGUAAGUUAAUACCUUGCUGUCUUGACGUUACCAACAGAAUAAGCAACGGCUAACUUCGUG
rnacentral:rRNA from 1 species